AAUCAAUAUUUUUGAUUGACAAGUCCGGACUCGAGUUCGGCCAAUUUCUCUUAAAUGGUGUAAAAGACUCGAGUGCUUUCGGGCUCGAGUCCGGACUCGCCCCAGCACUAGUACCCGGCAAAAGUUGUUCUAGAGCCCUCUAGUUGUUCCGUACCCCUUUCUCUCUCUCUGGAAGCUUGUUUCGUAGAGAUUUAGACCGGUGUAUGUCGCUCAGGAUCCUCUCCGUAAGAAUAUUUUUGUUGUGAAGUUACCGUGGAGUAAUGAACUAUGAUGUUUUUAAGCGCCUGUAAGAGCUUCAUCCCCUUUCAUCAGUCACAUAAAUCUUUUGAACUGACUGGUUGGGCAAAUACUUGGCUAUUCUUCAAUCAUGGAAUCGUUGCUCAAACUGAGCCUGCUGUUGUUUUGUAGAUUCAUUUUUGCACAAAUUGCACCGUGAUUCUCGGUUUUCUCAAAGUCGAAUUAUUCCAUAAUAUUCAGCGAAUGCUCUAACUUCGAACCAAGACCAUCUGACUUUUGUGAUACAAAAACAAACCGGCGGCAACACAAUUCAUUUGGCCAAUAAUUAAGUGGAGGUAGUAUAUUGCAAACAAUGACUUUUAAUCCUGCAUCAUGAAUGGUUUUGUUGCUUUUGGCAGGCUGUAAUUCAGCUCACAACUGCCUCUGGAAAUCCGCCCAACAACUUCGAAACUGGUGACCUGGAAUUGUAGCUAACAUUCUUCCCAGGUAAAGUUCAUGGUUCUCACCCCUAUGGAUUCAAUUAUUCAUUUUAUACUUAUCCUUCUCUUUUACAGCAUGUUCAAGGAGGUCAGUGCGAUAAUUGUCAGUUUGUCACUUACUUAUCUUCUUCAUCUGUCUUACGGUAACGACACCAAAAGAGGCAAAAGUGCAUGGAGGCUUAUUAUCAAGAUGAUCUCCUUGGCGUUGUGCAAUCAAAUGAUAUAAAUAACGCAGACUUUAUAGAAAGACGUCAACGAUUUUUAACUAAUCGAUUCCUCAGACAUAUAAAGCAUAUCCCUCAAUUUUUAUGGGCCAACUACAAACCGGCAUUUUUUCAAUGAGGAAGGCAUGCUGCCUGAUGGUUGUGAUGUUACAAUCGUUUUUACCCAGACAACUAAUGAAUUUCGAGCCUUUACCUUUGACGAGACGGAUGAUAUUGUGGUGACAUUGGUCUCACUCAAGCUGCACGUAAAAAUAUCUGCCUCAUGGUAAGCAUGGAUUUUAAUAUUUGGGUGUGGGCAAAAAGAAGGCAAUUCUUACUUUCACGACCACAUUUUCAAUUAUUGGGAAGAAUUCGCAAUUUUUUGUUGUGAUAGUUUGUUCUCGAGGUACUCUAAUCCUCAAAAGAUCUACGUCUUUUCAUUGAAGGUAUAUGAAACUUAGUUAAAGUUUCUCAUUUAUUAAGAUAAGGCUGUGUAACAAACUAAUCUGCCAGGUGAUAUUUGUUGGAAGGAGGACAAAAACUUUUUACAAGUUAUCCUGCAAGUGGGAGGAUGCGUCAGCCUUGACCAGUCAGAACAGACGGCAGAUGGGAAGGGGCCAAUGAGCCUACAUCAACUGCAUUCAUCAAGGGUAUUCGGAUGACUAUCAAUGGUUCGUCCAUUGAUUCAUUGACGACCAAAGGAAGCCAGGAUGAUGAUGAGAUCGCGUUUGCCCGGUUGCGAAUUUCAACAUAUUUUUAGCUUCGCCUUUUAACUCCGGGAUAAGUUAUGA